UGUGUCUGGAUGACAGCUGCUUCCGUUGUUUCUGGAUCUCUGUGACUGAGUUUGAAGGCUGCAUUAACCCAAGAAGGGGGAGAAAAAGGGGACCUUUUUUAUUAUUGUCUCAACAAAAACAUGAAAAAUAUUACAGUUCAGGAGACCCGAGCAGGCUGCCAGCGCUUUCAAGCGGGCACUUUCAAUGAAAAGUCUAUGCAAAUGUUCUCAGAUGUCAGAAAUUCUGCUCGUUUGCAUAGACUUUUCAUUUAAAGUGGCUGCUUGAAUGCGCACCGAUGCAGCUGGUGUGUGAAAUGCAGUCAGACCUCGUGCUCGCCCCGUCAGCGGCCUUAUAUGAGCCCGCCCACUAUCACAGGAAAGGCAGAAAGAUUGGCUAGAACUUCAACGUACUGAAGAGAGUCAAAGUGUUUGACAUGUCCUAAGAGAAGUAAAUCUUCAAUGAAACGAAACACCAAAAUGCGGAAAUUCUUUCGGUUUUGGUUAAGCCGCGUAAAUCUUAAAUCAUGAUUUGAAUCACAUGAAUCAAAUAUCAAGUACCUGCAUGGUGAUUCAUUGCGAUGCUCCCUAAAAAGAGCAGCUAAAAGGAAAGCACAUAAAUGUCAAAAUCUGUGAAGCAUAAACACAUCGGCUUUAAAAUGUUCUUCCAGUUGAAAAAUAUGAACUUCUUUCAGUUCAGUUCAGUUCAGUAGGAGCCUUUCAGCCUUAACGUCUUUAAAUCUCAAGGAGGUUUAAAUAUCCAGACGUGGCUCUCCGGCUGAAGCGGACCAAAGUUAAGAAACAAUUUCACCCAAAAAGUGAAAUUGAGUGCAUAUUAAAUCUUUCUUUUUCUUCGAGUAUGAGAAUCACAGAAGAAAAAUGAAGGCGAUGGUCACUCAUUUGAAUCCAAAAGCAGCUCAAAAUAAUCAUCUUUCAAUAAAGACAGAUGCUAAAAGAAUGAUGGCUUCAAGAUGUUCUCUAUGAAUUUGUUACAGUAUCUUUAUCUCCCUGAGGCCAAAAAGAAAAAAAAAAGAAUUUAAAUCCUCGUGCUGGAAUUUCUUUCCAAUUAAUUUUAUUUCCAAGUACUCUGGAGGCAAGUAAAAAUAGAUUUUAAUUAGGAAUUGACGCUGCAAGGUUAAUGUGAUACCCAAAUGGUUUUGACUAUUUACUUAACUGGAUUCAUGAUCAGAAUGCAGUUCAAACUUCUAAAAAAAUAUACCUUUAAUUUUUUCAAUGCCCCACCCACUCCACAGGAACAGGGUGCCAUCACUGGAGAGUCAUAAACACCACCCAACAUCAUCUUUAGAGGCGGUCCAAGGCCACCCUGAAGGCGUCUGAACAGUACUCCAAGAAGUCCAAUGGACGGCAAUAAAGGGAAGGAAUAAAUAGAACUCCUCCCCAAUGGAGAAGGAUUCUGGGAGGAGACAGAGGCCCCCUACAGGAAGAAAUGGCUAAUGGCAAGUGGGAUGUACUUGUACUGUCUCCUCAUAGGUUUACAUACCUCUCUUGGUCAUCUUUUAAGAGAAAAUUUUGGUUUCUAAUAAUAGUGGUUGGCUGAAGCCAUAU